rnacentral:rRNA from 1 species
GGUUAGUGGCGCACGGGUGCGUAACGCGUGGGAACCUGCCUUUAGGUUCGGAAUAACUCAGAGAAAUUUGAGCUAAUACCGGAUAAUGUCUUCGGACCAAAGAUUUAUCGCCUUUAGAUGGGCCCGCGUUAGAUUAGAUAGUUGGUGGGGUAAUGGCCUACCAAGUCGACGAUCUAUAGCUGGUCUGAGAGGAUGAUCAGCCACACUGGGACUGAGACACGGCCCAGACUCCUACGGGAGGCAGCAGUGGGGAAUAUUGGACAAUGGGCGAAAGCCUGAUCCAGCAAUGCCGCGUGAGUGAUGAAGGCCUUAGGGUUGUAAAGCUCUUUUACCAGGGAUGAUAAUGACAGUACCUGGAGAAUAAGCUCCGGCUAACUCCGUGCCAGCAGCCGCGGUAAUACGGAGGGAGCUAGCGUUGUUCGGAAUUACUGGGCGUAAAGCGCGCGUAGGCGGCGAUCCAAGUCAGGGGUGAAAUCCCGGGGCUCAACCCCGGAACUGCCCUUGAAACU